GGCCCCCCACCUCACUCCAGGUGGCAGAUCCACAGAGAUGGUAGCGAUACAGAAGCACAGCUUCCGAUGGCUUCCCCGUGUCUUCAGUUUGCAGCCUUAUUUCGGUGCUUGGACGUGCUUAACUUCUCAGGAUUAUAUUCUGCUUUGGAGUGCAAGGAGAAAGUCACAGUCUAGUUUUAUGAAGACCAAACUAGAGAAAAUCGAGUUAUCUUAAAGUGUAUGACAUCUCCACAAAUGAAUGUUUAUGGCUUUACACUUGGAGUGUUCUUGGAACACUCUUCAUAGCAAAU
rnacentral:lncRNA from 10 species